rnacentral:rRNA from 1 species
GACAGAGGUGCCAAGCGUUAGGCGGAAUCACUGGGCUUAAAGCGUGUGUAGGUGGAUUUGUAAGUACCUUGUGAAAUCCCAUGGCUCAACCAUGGAACUGCUCGGUAUACUGCGAAUCUUGAGCCACUUAGGGGCUACCGGAACAAAUGGUGGAGCGGUGAAAUGCGUAGAUAUCAUUUGGAACGCCAAUGGUGAAAGCAGGUAGCUGGGAGUGUGCUGACACUGAGACACGAAAGCCAGGGGAGCGAACGGG